rnacentral:lncRNA from 1 species
AUAUUUCAUUCAAUUUAUUAAUUUAAAUAAUAAAACAGUUCAUUUCAUGCAAUUUGGUCACUUUUUGACAUUUUUAUAAAUUUACCCUUAAAAUUUUACUUUUAUUCAAUUUAGUCCCUGAACCUAAAACAUGCAAAUUAGCCAUUUUUAAUGAAAACUCAUAUUAGUUGAAUAAUUAUAUAUUUUCCUCCUCCUCUCCAUUCACAUCCUUAAUGUAUAGAACAUGCUUAUAUGUAAUAUUAUCUAUAAUUGCACUAUUUAUUUAUAUGUUCAUUCAAAGCUAUCCACUUGAGUCAUAGUCACUAAAUUAUUUAUAUCUUGAGCUACAGAACCCCGAAUUAAUAUCCGCUAAAUUUAUAUGAAACUAGACUCACAUAUCUUCUUACCAUAAAAUUUUUAGAAUUUAUAGUUUAGCCAGUAAGUGCAGUUUAUUCUUUAAAGUCA